CAUGUCUCUUUGAAAAUUAUUAAUAAAGAGUUGGGCCUGCUCGGUGAGAAGAAAAAUUUAACAGCUGCGGUAUUAUAACUGUACUAAGGUAGCAUAAUAAUUUGCCUUAUAAAUUAAGGCUAGAAUGAAUGGUUUGACGAAAAUUAGACUGUCUUUAUUUUAUUUGUUAGAAAUUAAUUUUUAUAGUGAAAAAGCUUGAAUAAUUUAAGGGGACGAGAAGACCCUAUUGAGCUUUAUUUAUUAAUAUUUAAAUAUAAAUAUAUAAUUUAUAUUAUGAAAAUUAUGUUGUAUAUAUAUAUAUUUAAUUGGAUUUAAUUUUGAUUGGGGUGAUCAAGGAAUAAAGAUAAAGUAACUUCCUUAAAAUUAAUGAUUGUUUUUAUAGAGUAAUAAACCAAGUUUUUUGCUUAUAAGAUAAGUUACCAUAGGGGUAACAGCGUAAUUUUUUUUGAGAGUUCAUAUUGAAAAAAGAGAUUGCGACCUCGAUGUUGGAUUAAAAAUUACCUUAAGGUGUAGAGGCUUUGUUAGGUGAAUCUGUUCGAUUUUUAAAAUUUUACGU
rnacentral:rRNA from 1 species